rnacentral:tmRNA from 1 species
GGGGAUGUAAAGGUUUCGACGGGGAUCUUGAAGUACGAUAAGCGAGUAGAGUUGUGCAAACUCUUUAAACGGCACACGUUUUAAAAUUAGACGACAACGAUAAUUUUGAACUGGCUGCUGCCUAAGCGCAGUGCCCGUCUUGCCUGAGAGUACCACGGCUCGGGUAAAGGCGUCGAUCAGUGGUGAACGCUUACAGGCGACGGCUGUGACCUGUAAGUGUAUCACAGCCUACCAAGCGUGAAAGCGUGUCUGCUUGCUUAGCGUGAGGGAAAAGGGGCGACCCGGGAUAACAGACUAAACUCGUAGAAAUUCGUAGGGAUAGGUUUUCGGACAGGAGUUCGAUUCUCCUCAUCUCCA